rnacentral:lncRNA from 12 species
AGGAAAAGCCCCACUCUUGCAGCUCAUGGGAAGGAGCAGAUACAUACACAUGUGAGCAGACAACAUCUUGUCAACCAUGAGUGACCUCUUCCUGGAGUGGGUGGCUGGGGAGGGGGAUGGACCGGGAACAGGGUGGAAGAAAGCCAGACAUCUGUGCCUCCAGCCAGAGCAUGACAGCAGGGGCCAGUUUCAAAUGCCACGUUCCCAGGUGACUAAUGGCAGAGAGGCCUCAUGGCAGAGAGGCCUCAUCAUCAGGGUCACAGCAAACAGUUGGGACAGACCAAGUGCUCCAGAGAUAUAUCACCUGCAAAUGCACAUCCGCCUCUGUGUGUGCAGGGCAUAUCAGCCAAAUGGGGAACAGCAGGCAGCCUCCACCUUGGAGAGAAUCGAAAACUCACCUUGCUGUUGUCCUUCCUCCACAGCGUAAGCCAAGCCUUGGGGAGAGAGGGCAUCCUGGCUGGACCUCAGCGCUGCUCAAAGCAGCCUGUCAAGCCAGGGAGUACAGGAGGCAGAGGUCAGAGGAGCUGGGCCCUCAGGGGGUUUCCACAGGAGCCAGCAGGACAGUCACAGGAAAUUGAGAGACUUUCUGAGCAACUAGAAGAAAAAGAGAAGGAGACACAGCAGCUGAUGAGCCAGCCGGAGCAUGAGCGAGAGAAGGAAGUCGCAAUGCUGCGGAGGAGCGUGGCGGAGAAGGAACGUGCCCGGGCUGCCAGUGACAUUCUGUGCCGCUCCUUGGCUGAUGAGACCCAUCAGCUGAGGAGGACUCUGGCUGCCACCGCCCACAUGUGCCAGCAUCUGGCCAAGUGUCUGGAUGAACAACAGCGUGCUCAGGGGGACCUGAGGAGGAAGAGUCCUGAGCCAGAGUGCACAGGUGGUGCUGCCUCUGUCCAGGCCGUUAUUGAGAAGUUACGGGAAGAAAACCGCCUGUUAAGACAGAAGCUGAUUCAUGUGGAAGACCUCAAUGCCAAGUGGCAGCGCUAUGAUGCCAGCAGGGACGAGUACGUGAGGGGGCUCCACGUUCAGCUUCAGGGGCUGCAGGCCCCCCCAGAGCCCGAGCUGAUGAGGAAGGAGAUUUCCAGGCUCAACAGGCAGCUGGAGGAGAGGAUACGCGCCUGUGCAGAUGGGCGGCGGGAGCUGGCGGCCGUUAGGGGGGCCCGUGAUGCGGCACUGGAGCGGGUGCAGAUGCUGGAGCAGCAGAUUCUCGCGUACAAGGAUGAUUUUACCUCAGAAAGGGCAGACCGGGAACGGGCCCAGGGCAGGAUUCAGGAGCUCGAGGAACAGGUGGCUUCCUUGCGGCAACAGGCGUCCUGGACACAGGACCGCCGGGAACCAGGCUCCUGCCGGAUUCAUACAGGGAACAGAACCCCCAAGUACUUAGAGACUGAUGCUCUGGAGCUCGUGGCACCUAGUGGCCGGAGGACUGGGACUGGAUCUCAGGGGCUGGACUUGCCCACCGAGGGCAGGUGUCCUGGAACAACCCGGAGAGGGCAGGGGGACCUUCAGUGCCCUCACUGUCUGCAGUGCUUCGGCGAUGAGCAAGGCGAGGAGCUCUUCAGGCAUGUGGCUGAGUGCUGCCAGUGA